rnacentral:rRNA from 1 species
CGAUGAGGUUGAUAGGUUCGGUGUGGAAGCGCGGUAACGCGUGGAGCUGACGAAUACUAAUCGGUCGAGGACUUAUCCACA